rnacentral:rRNA from 1 species
UUCCAGACUCCUACGGGAGGCAGCAGUGGGGGAUAUUGCACAAUGGGGGGAACCCUGAUGCAGCGACGCCGCGUGGGUGAAGGAGCGUUUCGGCGCGUAAAGCCCUCUCGGCAGGGAAGAAGAUGACGGUACCUGACCAAGAAGCCCCGGCUAACUACGUGCCAGCAGCCGCGGUAAUACGUAGGGGGCAAGCGUUAUCCGGAUUUACUGGGUGUAAAGGGGGCGCAGACGGCAAUGCAAGCCAGGAGUGAAAGCCCGGGGCCCAACCCCGGGACUGCUUUGGAAACUGUAUGGCUGGAGUGCAGGAGAGGUAAGUGGAAUUCCUAGUGUAGCGGUGAAAUGCGUAGAUAUUAGGAGGAACACCAGUGGCGAAGGCGGCUUACUGGACUGUAACUGACGUUGAGGCUCGAAAGCGUGGGGAGCAAACAGGAUUAGAUACCCCAGUAU